GUUCACGGAUAGAAUUUGGUCAGAAUGGAUAAAAUAAAAAAACCCACGACCUUCCGCUUACCGGGCAGAUGCCAUGACCACUAGGCUACCCUGGA